UAUGGUAAUAAUGGCAAGAAGGAUACACCUGUAACCAUGUCGAACACAGUAGUUAAGUUUCUUAGCGCCGAGGGUAGUGAAGGGUUUCUCUUUGUGAGAGUAGGACAUUGCCAUGC
rnacentral:rRNA from 1 species